rnacentral:lncRNA from 1 species
AACUAGAGCCUAGGUAUUUUGCCUUUCAUCCACUGAGACUUGGGAAAGGGUUUUGCUACUACCACCGUUCCCUGCUCCCCUUUAUUUUCUUCUACUAAAGUAGAAGAAAAAUACCCCAAGUUCAGGUUUCCCUUGGCUAAUUGCUCAGGAAAGUACAGGCCACCCCUUCACACCCUGGCAAGUGGACAGUUAUUUGCAAGUGAGGGCUGGGGCCAUUUCCUGGUUCUUGGGUGGCAGAGGUGUUUGCUACAGAAUUUAAAGGCUGUAAUAACUAUUGAACACCCUAUUAUCUGGCUGCCUAAUUAAUGUAAAUGAUAGUUAUGCCACGCUCACCGAGGAUUAUGUUACUCAGAGGAAAAUCUGCUAACAGCCACAAGACCGUUCUAGUCGCUUUUAUGGAAGCAGGCACAUUAUGGCUUCAUGGAGUAAAAGAGAUCAGGCACUGUGAGCUAUUUUGCCCUGGAGCUACAUCUUCAUCACAGUGGCACAGACUUAAAAGGGCUCAGCACUAUGGACUUCUGGACCUCACUGCAAGCUUGUUCCAGGGCCUGGGACUUUAAAGGGGCCAAGUCCAGCUCUUCUGAGCAGGAGGAUGAUGCAAUCCCCAGGUGGGCUUCCAAGCACACACAUGAAUGUUCCCAGUCUGUUAACUGCAAGAUUAAGAAACAGAUUUUGAAAACUGGUUGUUGAUUCCUUGGUAAACUUUCCUUCCUAUAGCCCAUUCCUAUCUCUGGUCAUAUCUUUGGUGCUUAAUGGGGAGGCCCUCCAUUGGUAAUUUCCUGGGAUUUUAGUCUGGCAGCAAUGAGGAAGAACAAGGGUGGCACAGAAAUCUUUUCU